ACAUUGGUGGUUCAGUGGUAGAAUUCUCACCUCCCACGCAGGAGACCUGGGUUCGAUUCCCAGCCAACGCA
rnacentral:tRNA from 1 species